AGACCCGAAACCCGGUGAUCUAGCCAUGGGCAGGUUGAAGGUUGGGUAACACUAACUGGAGGACCGAACCGACUAAUGUUGAAAAAUUAGCGGAUGACCUGUGGCUGGGGGUGAAAGGCCAAUCAAACCGGGAGAUAGCUGGUUCUCCCCGAAAGCUAUUUAGGUAGCGCCUCGUGAAUUCAUCUCCGGGGGUAGAGCACUGUUUCGGCUAGGGGGCCAUCCCGGCUUACCAACCCGAUGCAAACUGCGAAUACCGGAGAAUGUUAUCACGGGAGACACACGGCGGGUGCUAACGUCCGUCGUGAAGAGGGAAACAACCCAGACCGCCAGCUAAGGUCCCAAAGUCAUGGUUAAGUGGGAAACGAUGUGGGAAGGCCCAGACAGCCAGGAUGUUGGCUUAGAAGCAGCCAUCAUUUAAAGAAAGCGUAAUAGCUCACUGGUCGAGUCGGCCUGCGCGGAAGAUGUAACGGGGCUAAACCAUGCACCGAAGCUGCGGCAGCGACGCUUAUGCGUUGUUGGGUAGGGGAGCGUUCUGUAAGCCUGUGAAGGUGGCCUGUGAGGGUUGCUGGAGGUAUCAGAAGUGCGAAUGCUGACAUAAGUAACGAUAAAGCGGGUGAAAAGCCCGCUCGCCGGAAGACC
rnacentral:rRNA from 1 species